rnacentral:rRNA from 1 species
UACGUAGGGGGCUAGCGUUGCUCGGAAUUACUGGGCGUAAAGCGCACGUAGGCGGAUUGUUAAGUCGGGGGUGAAAUCCUGGAGCUCAACUCCAGAACUGCCUUCGAUACUGGCGAUCUCGAGUUCGGGAGAGGUGAGUGGAACUGCGAGUGUAGAGGUGAAAUUCGUAGAUAUUCGCAAGAACACCAGUGGCGAAGGCGGCUCACUGGCCCGAUACUGACGCUGAGGUGCGAAAGCGUGGGGGGCAAACAGG